GCUCAGGAUGAACGCUAGCUACAGGCUUAACACAUGCAAGUCGAGGGGCAGCAUGGUCUUAGCUUGCUAAGGCCGAUGGCGACCGGCGCACGGGUGAGUAACACGUAUCCAACCUGCCGUCUACUCUUGGACAGCCUUCUGAAAGGAAGAUUAAUACAAGAUGGCAUCAUGAGUCCGCAUGUUCACAUGAUUAAAGGUAUUCCGGUAGACGAUGGGGAUGCGUUCCAUUAGAUAGUAGGCGGGGUAACGGCCCACCUAGUCUUCGAUGGAUAGGGGUUCUGAGAGGAAGGUCCCCCACAUUGGAACUGAGACACGGUCCAAACUCCUACGGGAGGCAGCAGUGAGGAAUAUUGGUCAAUGGGCGAGAGCCUGAACCAGCCAAGUAGCGUGAAGGAUGACUGCCCUAUGGGUUGUAAACUUCUUUUAUAAAGGAAUAAAGUCGGGUAUGGAUACCCGUUUGCAUGUACUUUAUGAAUAAGGAUCGGCUAACUCCGUGCCAGCAGCCGCGGUAAUACGGAGGAUCCGAGCGUUAUCCGGAUUUAUUGGGUUUAAAGGGAGCGUAUAUGGAUGUUUAAGUCAGUUGUGAAAGUUUGCGGCUCAACCGUAAAAUUGCAAGUUGAUACUGGAUAUCUUGAGUGCAGUUGAGGCAGGCGGAAUUCGUGGUGUAGCGGUGAAAUGCUUAGAUAUCACGAAGAACUCCGAUUGCGAAGGCAGCCUGCUAAGCUGCAACUGACAUUGAGGCUCGAAAGUGUGGGUAUCAAACAGGAUUAGAUACCCUGGUAGUCCACACGGUAAACGAUGAAUACUCGCUGUUUGCGAUAUACUGCAAGCGGCCAAGCGAAAGCGUUAAGUAUUCCACCUGGGGAGUACGCCGGCAACGGUGAAACUCAAAGGAAUUGACGGGGGCCCGCACAAGCGGAGGAACAUGUGGUUUAAUUCGAUGAUACGCGAGGAACCUUACCCGGGCUUAAAUUGCAGAUGAAUUACGGUGAAAGCCGUAAGCCGCAAGGCAUCUGUGAAGGUGCUGCAUGGUUGUCGUCAGCUCGUGCCGUGAGGUGUCGGCUUAAGUGCCAUAACGAGCGCAACCCUUGUUGUCAGUUACUAACAGGUUCCGCUGAGGACUCUGACAAGACUGCCAUCGUAAGAUGUGAGGAAGGUGGGGAUGACGUCAAAUCAGCACGGCCCUUACGUCCGGGGCUACACACGUGUUACAAUGGGGGGUACAGAGGGCCGCUACCACGCGAGUGGAUGCCAAUCCCCAAAACCUCUCUCAGUUCGGACUGGAGUCUGCAACCCGACUCCACGAAGCUGGAUUCGCUAGUAAUCGCGCAUCAGCCACGGCGCGGUGAAUACGUUCCCGGGCCUUGUACACACCGCCCGUCAAGCCAUGGGAGCCGGGGGUACCUGAAGUGCGUAACCGCGAGGAGCGCCCUAGGGUAAAACUG
rnacentral:rRNA from 1 species